GAGGAGUUUGCGAGGGGAGGCGCUUGGGAGGACUCCCCCAGUUCUGUUAAGAGCUGGGCACAAAGAGCCCUUUGCACUCCAGCCGCAGGAGCGAGGAGGAGCCGAGACCUGGGGCGUCCAGCGCAGCCUCAAACCCAGGGCAUCUCUGCACUCUCAUCGCGACGUCGCUCUGGAUGCUGUUUGCAUAUCCUUGGGGAGUCACUGCUUUGGCACAACAGUCCUGCGAGGUGGUAAGAACCCAUUUUAAAGACGAGAAAAAGGAGGUCCAGAGAGGUUUAGCGGCCUGUCCAAGGUCACUCAGCCAAAGAUUUUUGAGUUUGACACGACGGACUCUGAAGCCCACAUGGCAUCUCUAAAACGGUGUGGGGGUGACCCUAGAACUCACUAGCUCGGUUUCUCAACCCUCCUGGGCUCUGAGACACUACUCUCUGCAGAAGCUGGGGGUUUGAGAGGGAAAGGUCUAGACCUCUUUCAUCUAGGACGCGAACGAGAUUAUUUCUUGGACAGAGGGAUUCCGGGGACCCCUGCCUCCCCACUCUCGUCCCAGUCUCCCGAGCACAGGCCUCCAGGCGUCGGGGAUCGCUGGCGCUCACACCCCACUGCGGAGAGGAGUCGCGCCAGGAAAACGCCCCCACCUGCUGCAGGGAGGGGCUAAGGGAUCGAGGGCAGAGAGAGAACUUGCUGGAAGCUGGAAGCCGGUUUGUUUUUCUCGGCGCCAGCGUUGCGCUGAGCUGGGCGCAGCCUUGCUGCCUCCCCAGAGCGCUCUUUCCAGGAGGCGUCUCCGGGUGUGGAGUGCGACGGGCAAGGAUGAGUAACCCCACACUCCCGGGGCUCCCCUCAAGUGAGCCAAUGUCCCGCCACGUGGCCCCGCGCUGCGUCAGCACAUCUAGGGCGGGGCUGCACAUCUGGAGGUGCUCAGAAUCGCUCCUGAUCCUGGAGCGGGGAUUGGGGGUGGAAUGGGGGUUGGGGGGAGGGUGUCCCCUGGGCCAGAGAACUGCCCCCAACCCCAGCUUCAGAAGCGGGGCAAAUGGGUUCCUGGCGCUACCCCAUCUGCUCCAUGCUGUGAGAAAACACUGAACUCACCCUACCCUAUUGAAAGAAUUCUGGGUUAACAACUUUAACUUCUGCACAC
rnacentral:lncRNA from 1 species